rnacentral:rRNA from 1 species
AUGAGCAUGCAGUUGAUGGUAGCCACUUUCAAUAACUACCAGGAGUUAGUAGAUCGUGCGCUUAUGAUUGAAGGAAAGCAGCAGCAGAUUGACAAUCGUAAGAGGAAGUAUGCACAGGGGAAGUACAAUUCUGGAGCUCAGCAGAAGCCACGUUUUACCCCAAAGUCAGGGGACACUUUCAGCAUACUCAUGGAGGAGGCAGCUCGCACAAUCAUAAUGGCACAAAGAAUGGAAACGGAAAUGGAGGAAGCAAUGGACAAAACCGCACCAACCCGUCAACACCAUCCAAGGCAGACCUGA